ACAAUAUAGAGCUUGCAGCGACGGCUGUGCUCCCAUAAAGCGAUGGAAAUGUUUGCUUGGGGGGUUCGCUUCGAGGUGGCAGUUGAUCGCGCGACGCUGAAGACGACGGAUGCGUCGGUGCCAGUCGUCGCGCCACUCAAGGAGAAGGGUUCUCUCUCCCACCACUAAGCCCGGCGAGGUCCCGGGCGCGCACGAAGAGCGCGGCGGCGCCCCGUCGCAGCCGGCUGCGGGGAGCGCGCUUGUACACCGCCUGCACGUUGAGCGCCAGACGGGACCAGGCGCCGCCAGCCGCGCUCGCCUCGCGACCUACCACCU